AUCUAUGACCAGGCCACCCUGAACAUGUCUGAUCUCUUCUGAUCUCAGAAGCUAAACAGGGUUAGGCCUGGUUAGUAUUUGGUGUGAAAUGUAAAACAUUACAAAGGGAGUUAUUUUUU
ensembl:rRNA 5S_rRNA 5S ribosomal RNA